UGGCUCAGUUGGCAGAGCAUGGUGUUUUCAACUCCAGGGUUGUGGGUUCAAUUCCCAC
rfam:Salmo salar isolate Sally breed double haploid chromosome ssa14, whole genome shotgun sequence.